GGGGAUGACAGGCUUUUGACAGGGCAGGUGUGCGAUCCAGUUGCACUCCGAGUUUCAGCAUGGAUGGACUCGUUAAAGAAGUCUAUGUAACUAUUAGAUGCAGACGAUUAUUCGUAUGCAAUGGCUGCCUGAUUAGCAAAAGUUAAUUUAUUCAGCCAUCGUUCGAUGAUGGAGGCGCUUACUCUGAAUUUAUCGAAUGGCAUAAUCCGCGCUUGAGCCUACGGCUCGCGCAAGUAAGCUUCAACUGUUUAUUUCCGGUAAAUCGGUUGAAUACAAUUCCGGAAUAGUGUUCCGAACUUUGUCGGCGGAGUAACGGAAUGCGAAACUCAAAACACCGAAGAUGAGUGUGGUAGCUGUUUCAAGCAAUGUUCUGGACGCGGGUUCGACUCCCGCCAUCUCCACCA
rfam:Chlorobium phaeobacteroides BS1, complete genome.